rnacentral:tRNA from 1 species
GCUCGCCUAGCUCAGUCGGUAGAGCGCAUGGCUCUUAACCUUUUGGUCUUGGGUUCAAGCUUGAAGGUGGGCG